CUCAAACUUCACUAUCAUUGCUUUCUCAUCAUUUGUUUUCAAUACAGGUCACAUCCAGGUUAAAGUUUUUGGUCAAGGUAGUUUAGAUGACAUUGAAGUCCAAUCAACUCGAAACUUAGUACACAUGUUCCCUAUGAUAUGAUCUUUCUAACUUGUUUAUUUAAAUUCAUUCGUUCUUAUGGGAGUUAAAAGAAUAUAAGUAGAUGUACAUGUGAAACCGCUUGUUUAUGAUGAGUCUUAUUUUUAAUGUCAAAUUAGAGAUUUUACUCCAAUUUCACAGUUCACUGACCAUAAAAAAUGAUAGUGUGAGUAGGACAUCCGUCCGUGUACACGUACUAAGGAC
rnacentral:lncRNA from 1 species